GGGGCUGUAGCUCAAUCGGUUAGAGCAGCAGACUCAUAAUCUGUUGGUUCUGGGUUCGAGUCCCAGCAGCCCCA
rnacentral:tRNA from 1 species